UACGUAGGGUGCAAGCGUUGUCCGGAAUCACUGGGCGUAAAGAGCGUGUAGGCGGCUUGGUAAGUCCGCUGUGAAAGUCCAGGGCUUAACCCUGGAAAGGCAGUGGAAACUGUCAAGCUAGAGUCCGGAAGAGGUGAGUGGAACUCCUGGUGUAGCGGUGAAAUGCGCAGAUAUCAGGAAGAACACCAAUGGCGAAGGCAGCUCACUGGGACGGUACUGACGCUGAGACGCGAAAGCGUGGGGAGCAAACAGG
rnacentral:rRNA from 1 species